AACGAACGCUGGCGGCAUGCCUAACACAUGCAAGUCGAACGAGACCUUCGGGUCUAGUGGCGCACGGGUGCGUAACGCGUGGGAACCUGCCCUUAGGUUCGGAAUAACUCCCCGAAAGGGGUGCUAAUACCGGAUAAUGUCUUCGGACCAAAGAUUUAUCGCCUUUGGAUGGGCCCGCGUUGGAUUAGCUAGUUGGUAGGGUAAAAGCCUACCAAGGCGACGAUCCAUAGCUGGUCUGAGAGGAUGAUCAGCCACACUGGGACUGAGACACGGCCCAGACUCCUACGGGAGGCCGCAGUGGGGAAUCUUGGACAAUGGGCGAAAGCCUGAUCCAGCAAUGCCGCGUGAGUGAUGAAGGCCUUAGGGUUGUAAAGCUCUUUUACCCGGGAUGAUAAUGACAGUACCGGGAGAAUAAGCUCCGGCUAACUCCGUG
rnacentral:rRNA from 1 species